rnacentral:rRNA from 1 species
CGCCUACGGGGGGCAGCAGUGAGGAUUAUUGGUCAAUGGGCGCAAGCCUGAACCAGCCAUCCCGCGUGCAGGAAGACGGCGCUAUGCGUUGUAAACUGCUUUUCCAGGGGGAGAAACUUGCGCACGUGUUGCGCAAUUGACGGUACCCUGGGAAUAAGCAUCGGCUAACUCCGUGCAAGCAGCCGCGGUAAUACGGAGGAUGCAAGCGUUAUCCGGAUUCAUUGGGUUUAAAGGGUGCGUGGGCGGACUAUUAAGUCAGUGGUGAAAUCCUGCAGCUUAACUGCAGAACUGCCAUUGAUACUGAGAGCCUUGAGUUUGGUUAAGGUAGGCGGAAUGUGUAAUGUAGCGGUGAAAUGCUUAGAUAUUACACAGAACACCAAUUGCGUAGGCAGCUUACUGAGCCGACACUGACGCUGAGGCACGAAAGCGUGGGGAUCGAACAGGAUUAGAUACCCCGGUAGUCCAA